CUCUUCCUGGAGAUUGCUCCUUGUGGAGUUUUUUGCAAGAUUACAACACUGUCAUGGCCUGAAGCAGUCAGUGAUUGAGCACCUGAGGGGAAGUCAGGGCCAAUCCAGAGGAGCUCAGCUGCAACAUGCCUGAGUGACCAGUGACCAGAAGGGGUGAAGCCAGGAUCCACCCCUUCCCAAACAUCAUUUAAGGGUUGGCAGUGGAGGUGAGGAUAUCUUGAUGGAGAUCCUUGUCUACCUGAGGUCUUCAAAGGAUAAGCAGGUGACUCGGAAGAAAAUUGAGUGUGUGCCUUAUUUUGCUUCAUUAUGAAACAUAAUCAAGGUCAGAAUGUUUGAUGUUUGCCUUUAAAUAAAUGUUACUCCUUUUCACACCGAAGAUUAAAAAUAAGAUUAAUCUGUUUUUUUAAUGAAACACUCAGUAGACAACUUGGUUUACACCUUUGAGUUGCAGGCAGUUUAUUUCAGUGGCAAAUAGUAUGUAACUAAUGAAUUAGGGAAAGUAAGUUAAGUUAAAAGUUAUGUGCCUUUCUGGGGUGUUGAAUCCGCAGCUGCAGGUUUGACCUUACUAAGCCAGGUUCUCGCUGCUGCUAACAGAUGCUUUUCUACAGACUUAGACAGUUAAUGAAGAGAGCAGGUCUCCUGUUUUUCCAAAUAACAUCGUUAGCUCCCCUAUCUGUGGAAUGCGAGGCAGUAGACCAAGACAGCAAACCACAAACUAACAAAGAAGCAGUGGAUUGACAAACAGAGUUGUGGCUGAUGGGACAACCAACCAGAGCCAGCCAAGCAUCCCUCAUCCUAACCCAAGUCGAAGAAAAUAACACAGUGACCUUCAUAGGAAAGAUGAUCAAGAGAUAUGCAUGUGUAAAAGAGCUGAGACUCAGGGUGAGGGGGUUGUUAAUCAUUCUGGGGACUCACUGUAAUAACCCAGCCCUUUCUUGGGCAUCUAAUGCAUAUGUAACCCUGAAUAUGAUAUAUUUUGUAUGUGAUCUUUGUAUGGAAAACAGGUAUACAGGUAUUGGACCAGAGAGAUUAUCACGUUACAAAGGAGUAAUGACAUAAAGGGCUUACCCAUGUCCUGGGCUUGCAGAAGGGCUCCAAGAGGAGUGAUCUCCAGAUAGAGAUCCUUCCCCCUUGGGAGUCAGCCCUUAAAUGGGGUCUAGGAGCCAGGCUCCUUAAAUGGAGCCAGGCUCCACCCCUUCUGGUCACUCAGGUGAAAUUGUGUUCACCUGUGCACCUGCAGCUGACUCCGCGCUCGCCUCAGGUGGUCAAUCAGAGGUUCAGGCCGUGAUUCAACAGUUCCCAUACAGAUCUUAGAUGUAGAUAGUUUGCUUAGUGACUCAGUCAAAAGCGUAAAUUUGACUAUAGUGUUUUUACUACCUUUGGAUUCUCUUUUGUAUUACAUUAUCGUAUCUGGAGUGGAACUCAAGGUAUAGAAAAAGCCAGGAAGUUUAUAUCUAGUCACAGAUUCCCAAAAUGGCUGAAGUUGGAAGGGAUCUCUAGAAAUCAUCUUGUCCAACAUCUACUAAUGCAGAGCCACCUAAAGUAUGUUGCCUAGGAACACGUCUAGGAAGCUUCUGAAGAUCUUCAUGCAGGAGUGCCUGCAACCUCUCUGGGCAGCCUGUUUAGUUGUUCCAUCUCCUCCACGGUAAAGUAACAUUUCCUGAUGUUCAAAUGGAACCUCCUAUGUUCUAGUCAGGCCCACUGUCUCUUGUCCUGGUGUUGGGCAGCGUUAAAAACAGCCUGGCUCCAUCCUGUUUUCACCUUCCCUUCACUAAUUGAUACAUUCUGCCUUUAAGUAUUUAUAAGAUCCUCUCAGAGCCCGCUUUUCUCCAGGCCAAGCAUUUCCAGCUCUUUCCCAUCAGAAAGAUAUUUCCAGUUCCUUAAAUAUCUUUGUGGAUAUACACCAGGUUGUGUAUCAACAACAGAAAAAUCAUGAUGUGAGCUAUUUGUCAGGAAAUAAAUCCUUCAUAUUUGUAGCAUAGUGAAUAGAAUUUCAUGUGCUCAUCAUUAAAAGUGUAGUAUUUAAUCCCAUUUUCAUAAGAAAUUGAAAAACAAAACAAAACACACCACUAUAUAUUCAAGACAGCUUAUUGUUUUAAUUACGUUUGUACAGCUUUACAAAAAUCUAUUCCUAAAGAUCAAAAGUUAUCUAAAAAAUCAAAGUGAGUCCUGAAAUUUAACCUUCUGGCUUGAUACCACAAACAACGUAAUUCAGUUACUAAGGAAGAGUUCAAAAAUUAAGUGUUGUAAGUAGAUGACUUUCCAGUGUUUUGCAGCCAGCUUUAAAACUGCUCUAUAUCUUGUGUAAUAAUUAAUGUGCUGGCUUUUCAGCUAACUUGAAAGCACUGCAGUUGAUUUUAGUGUCUUGAAAUCUUUAUCUUCAUUAUUCUCCAUUAUAUCAACAUCUACAACAUUUGUAGAUCAGAAGCAGUAAUGGUACCAUCACCAUGAUUUAUGAGGCAAUAAUAAUGAUUCCAGAGAUGUUAAAAUGAAGUUAUGUAACAAAUGGAAGGGUAUAUGUUCAGGAGUGUAAUCCUAUCCAUUAUUUUCCUUAUCCUGACUGAAGGAAUAUCUCUUUGUGAGCACGUUUAGAAACUGCUCUCGUGGAAGGGGAAAGUAAAUAAAAGGGUAACAUGUAGUAACAACUGCUUUGUACCUCAAAGGGAGCAUUCUCAGCUGGAUGAAAAAAGAUUAAGAUUACCAUGUCAUUAAUCCUUAAAGACUUUCAUUUUCUCUGCUGUUGUCACAAAAUUCUCUCAGAAUAAAGAAACAACAACUUGCAAUAGCUGGAAGCUAUCACUGCUGUAAGGAUCCCUGUUCUGUUUUUUUGGAACUAUCUCUUACUACACCAUCUGGAUGCUUUUAGUACAAAGUCCAAAUAAGAAAUCACGUGAGAUCCAACUUGUAACAGACAUUCUUCUCUGUACUCUGAAGAUCAGUUGGGAGGUGCAGAUGGUUGUGGAAGACAAAACAAUUUGAGCUGCUGUGUUUACACAGCAAAGAAGAGACUCCAAAGUUAAUACAGAAAUUUACUUUUAACAGCUUUAUAUACUAUUAAUUUUGUAAUCAUGGUCUACUGCUUGUCACAACCUGCCAAUCUAACUUGAGAAAUGUGCAAGUGUUCAGACAAAGAGCUUACUCCACCAGUCUAGAAGCCCAUUAGCAAGCUCAUGAUAGACUACUAUCACCCACCUGUGUGACAGGAAUGUAUAUUGGACUGUUGCACAACCUACCCAGACCUCUGCUAUUCCAAGGGAAACAGUGCACAAUGGGGAAGAAAGAGUCUCAGCCUUACAUAUCAGAUUUUAUACUCCUAGAUAUUGCCAUUAAGCAAUGCAGCUUUUGAGUUACACUGAAUACUACCAAGAAUAAAACCAAUUCUCAACUAGUUGCUCAGUAACAGUCAAAAAUUAAUUUUAGUGUCAGAAAUUACCUAGAACAGAAGAGAGAGCAAAGCAGAGAACAACCUAUAUGACUGUAUAAAUCAAUGCUUCAUGCUUGAUUAGUAUGUGCUAUUUUUGUCCAUUCAUCCCAGAAAGGGUGUAGUUGAACUGCAGAAGGUUCAGGUUAGCGGAUACAUUACAAAGUACAAAAAAGCUUCUGUAUGUGAAAUGACUAAAGCAGGAUUAGUUUGAAAACAAGCUGACUCCAAAGAGGCAGAAGGUGCAGAGAUCUCCAGCACUGUCAGGGAUGCAGAGAGAAUAGAGAAGGAUCACUUUCUCCAUUGCUUCUGUGUGGGGGGAAUACAGAACCAAAUGGAACAAGUAAGAACUAGGUCCAGAACAAACAAAAUGAAAUGGGAAUAUUCUCCAUGCAAUGGGUAAUUGAACCAUGAAACUUCUUCCAAAAGAAUAUUGUAGAUGCUGACAAUUUGCAUUUUCAAGUGGAGAUCGGGAUAACUCUUAGAAGAAAAAUCCUUUGUUAAUUACUAAAUUUCAUUCUUACUAAUUUCAAAACCCUAUACAUCAGCCCUAAUGAUUGCUACAAUAUUGGAAACAUUUUGAAUUGAACAGGCAAGAAACUUUUUCCAAAUUCAAAGGAGAAACAAAAACAAAAGAAAAGAAAAAACAGAAAGGAAAAUUUUAAAAUGGUAGAAGAAAGAAUUUAAUUAUGAUUUCAUUUCUUAGUCUCUAUUCCAGCAGCAGCUAUCUCUGAGAAAUAACACAGUGUAUGUAUAAAGAAUGUAUGUCUAUAAUAUGCAGUACAUAGUUAAACAAAACCACCCAGUCUUGAAGUAAAAGAGCAAACACUUGAGGGAGAGAUGCAGACAUACAAUCACAUUAUAUCUCUCUUCACUUCUUCAACCUCAAAUACGCCCUCAUAGUUAGUACUAAUCAAGAAAGCAGGAUUCUCACUGCAGUUCUCUUUCUUUCUCUCUUGAAUAUCCCUCAUUUAUUUUGAUGGCCUUAGAUAUGUUGCCUCACAGCCUCACACAAAUUGCCUCAUUUUACUUGUAGUAACAAAGAUAAUUUGGACUGGGUGGAAAUUGAAUCAAUUGGAUUACUAGGGCAGUUCUUGUUAACAUUCAUGUUUUCGGUUUCACCCCUCCUCUCUGGAGGGAAGAAUGCAACUGGCUAUUAUUCCAUUAGUGAUCUUUCCUAUGAAACUAAUAAGCUGACAUCAAACCAAAAAGGUACCAUUUUCUGUCUGCGUAGUCUGGCAACUUCCUCAGUGUUUUAGUGCAAAAAGUCAGGUGGUCUUCAUUUUAGAAUGUGGGAUGCCUUUCUGAUGUAAUGUUUGUCUUCACUUACAGCUGCCUUCCUUUUGCAGUUAUGACAGAUUAUAUUAAAUACAAAGCAUUUUAACUGUUUUAUAACUAUGCUAUUGCUAUCAGUGAAAGACCAAAAUUACCAGCAAAUGUAAAUAUAUAAAUAUAUUUGUAUAAAAUAUAAACUUUCAGUCAGUCUAAAUAUUCUGAUUACAAGUGAAGGAUUAAUCAUUCACAUAUAGAGUUAACACUACGACAAAUUUAAUUGUUACCAUUUGUUAAGUUUUGAGUUAGAUUCCUCUCUAAACAUAGUAUUGUUAAACUUCUUCUUUUUUUUUUUUUUUUUUUGUCUUUUUUCUUCUGUUUGGCUGUCUCCCAAAUCCAUACCUUAUUCUAUUUCUUUCAAAAGAAUUAACUGCCACAAAAGCUCUUAGAUUUGUGAGUAAAACUUCCCAUACAGUUUAACAAGCUACUUAUUACAAAUCUUCUUUAAGAAAAUCUUGUAUAAAAGUAUGUAGCUUGCAUCUGAAUUUGUAAUGCUGAAUUCACAUUGUUUCACAGGUUUAUAGGAAUAAUAAUAAAAAAAUAUCUGAACUAAGCUUUUCAAGGAACAUCCAUUCCAUUUUGUCUGAAGAUAAAGCUGCAGUUUAGAAAUCAUCUGUCUACAGAAACUUCUCUGAUCAAACAGCUGGAGUAUUCCGCAUCACAACAUCAUGCAGUGUACUGGGAGUUGAAGAGCAAAUGCUUUAGUUCCGGGUACGUGUCUGGAAGCGAAGAAGAACUAUAUUCCCCAAGAGUCUUUUCAAGUACUGUUAUCAUUCCUGCUCAAGGGAACAGAUAUAAGGGUGCAGGUCAUCUGACUCACCCCUCUUCUCGUCUCACCGUGUUCCCUGUCGGAUUGGCUCACUACUGCUGCUCCCAACUGCACACAAGGCUUCAGUAUUAGCAUCGUUGCUGCUGUUUUUAUUUUGGGGUCCCCUGUUUCCCUUCCUGGAGGUGUGGAUUUUGCAAAAUCCCUCCGCCCCACUAGUCACAGAACCGGACCGGACAGCCCCUUAAACCAUUGACAAAUUAUAAUUUACGUCCAGGGACAUACAUUCUGGUCUUUGAAACAACAAUUUCAGAAAAAAACGAACACCAAAAACACAAGAAAUCCAACCAGGAAUAGAAAACAGUGACUUCAUGUUCUCUCUUGCAUCAAGCCUACAUGAUAUGGGUUUUACAUCAGGUCUCCCAGAGCUUCAUGCAGCAUUGACUCCUCAUAACAGAAACCUCCUGUUCGUACUUCAGAUGAGACAGUGUUGUACAGAGCCAAGGCCAUUCACAGCGAAGGGCCCAAGAAGCUGGGAAGGAACAGAAUUAGGACAGCUGACUUAAACUGGACAAAGUGAUAUUCCAUGCCAUAUGACAUCAAGUGAAAGGAGUUUUGAAGGGGGUAAUGAAGUUGGGAAAGAUUAGCAACUGACUAGAAAAAUAUAACAUUUCCAAAAUCAAUACUCUUGUUGACAGCUGACAUGGGAUUCACCCUUAAUUCUGAAACAGUUUUACUCAUAGUUCUCAUCCUGAUGAGGAAUUACAACCAACAUGAUGUAUCAUGGAAAAACAACUUAAGGGGCUGCAAGCAAUCCAGGACACUCCUGCAUUCUGUUGAGUAUAACUUUCUGGUCCAAGUAUUGGACAAACCAACCAGAGGAGAUGCAUUACUGAACCUACUGCUAACCAAUGGCAAUCAGUUCAGUAAAGAGAUUGAGAUUGGAGGCAGUCUGGGCUGUAGUGACCAUGCCCUGGUUGAGUUUGUGAUCCCAAGGAAUGUGGGCCUGUCAAGGAGCAGAGUCAGGACUCUGAACUUCAGAAGAGCAAACUUCCAGCCAUUUAAGGAAUUACUGGUUAUGAAAACUGUCUUUAGGGACAAAGGAACAGAACAGAUCUGUUGGUUCUUCAAGAAUACCUUUCUAGGAGCACAAGAGCUCUCCAUCCUCCAGCAUAAGAAAUCUGGAAAGGGAGGCAGGAGACUGGCAUGGCUGAAAAAGUACAUCCAGGUCAAACUGAGGAAUAAAAAUGAAAUGUGCAGGCAGUGGAAGCAGGAAUGUGUGACCUGGGAAGAAUACAGGGAUGCCAUCCAGAUGUGCAGAGGUGGGAUCAGGAAAGCCAAGGCACAGAUGUAACUAGACUUGGGACAUCAAAAACAAUGAGGGAUUCUACAGGUAAAUUGGUCAGAAGAGAAAAGGCAAGGAGAGUGUAACUCCUCUGAUAAAUGAGAAGAGAGAAAUGGCAAAAACAGACAUGAGGAAAGCUGAGGCAUUGCCUCAGUUUACAAUGGCAUUCUGGCUUCUUGUGUCUCUCAAGUCCCUGAACAUCUAGGCAGGGGUAAGUGGAGCUAAAUCCCCCCCAUUGUGAGCAAUGAACAAGUUUGAUUCCACUUGAUGAUAACAUGUAUCCUAGGGUCCUGAAGGAUCUGGAAAAAAAGGUGACUAGAAAAAAGAGAAACGUUACUCACAUUUUUAAGAAAGGGAGAAAGGAAGAUCUGGAAAACUACAGAAUGGUGACCCUCACCUCUGUGUCUGAGAAGAUCAGGAAAUAGAUCUUUGUGGAAAACAUGUUAAGGCACAUAUGAGACGAGGAGGUGAUCCAAUACAUCCAGCAUAGCUUCAGCAAGAGCAGAUCAUUCCUGACCAAUUUGAUGGGCAACAGAUGUUGUCUACCUGGACUUCUGAAAGGCCUUUUACAUGGUCCCACACCACCACAUCCUUGUCUCUAAAUUGGAGAUAGACAGACUUGAAGGGUGGACUAUUCAGUGGAGAAAUAAUUGGUUUGAUGGUCCAAGUGGAGGCUCUUGAUGAGUGGUGUCCCACAGUGUUCUGUCUUGGGAUAGGUGCUUUCUGAACAUCUUCAUCAGUGACCUAGACUAUGGGGCCGAGUGCACCCUCAGCAAGUUAGCAGAUGACACCAAGCUGAGUGGUGCAGUUGAUACCAUAGAAGGAAAACAUGCCAUCCAGAGGAACUUGAACAGGUUUGAAAAGUGGUCUCAUGGGAACCUAAUGAGGUUUAACCAAGCCAAGUGCAAAGUGUUACAGUUGGGUCUGGUCAAUCUCAGAUAUGUUUACAGUCUGAGAGUAGAACUCAUUGAGACCAGCCUUGUGGAGAAGGGACUGGGGGUUCUGGGGGAUAAAAAGCUUGACAUGGUCCAGCAGUGUGCACUUGCAGCCUGAAAUUGUAUCCUGGGCUGAAUCAGCAGAGAAGUGGCCAGCAGAGUGAAGGGGGUGACUGUCUAUUUCUUCUCUGCUAUUAUGAG
ensembl:lncRNA